CGGGCCGCGGGGGGAGCCCAGCCCCAGGGGAGCCCCUCCGGGGAGCCCCCGUCCUUCAGCAGCCCCCGGCGGAGCAGGGCCUCGCGGAUCCGGAGGGCGGCCGCAGGGAAGGGGUCGGAUGCAGGACGCGGCUGCGGGACGCGCACGCGGCCGCUCGGCUCUGCGAAGCCCCCCGACACGCUCCUCGCGGUGACUGGUGGGGUGACACGAUGAGCCCGGCUCAUUCCCCGCUGCCGCGAUGAGCCGGGUGCCCGGGUGACGCGUCCCUGGGGGCUGGGGACGUGCUUCAGGUGCACCCCCAGCGCCCGCGUUCCCGCUUUUCCAGCGUACAGGCGCGCCGCAAAGCCGUGGCUGCCGGGGGUUAUCGGGGAAGUGGAAUCGCUGAAGCUAUUUGAUGAAUGGAAGUGGUUAGUGUGUGGCGAUAACUGGGCUGAAAAAGGUCGAACCUCGGGCCUGCUCGCAAGGGCACAGGUCUUGCUGCCCUAGGGUCUGUAUGUUUUAAGAAACGAGAAACAGCAGAGACUUCUUUAAAACCUUGUUUUGUUUGUUUUUUGCUCCAUGUAGAUCUGCAGGUCCAGACCUUGGCGCUAGCCUCCCCCUCCAGCUCGAUCCUCCUUCCCUGCUUUCUCARCCUUCCUUUAUCCUCUCGGCCAACCCUUGCAUCACCAGCGCCGGGACCAGCACGAGCUACAGCAUGGUCCCRUCUCCGCCCUCCUGCCCCAAGGCGUUGAUCCCCGUUCCCCCCGGCGCUGUCAGCUCCACGACGAGCGUCGCGUCUGCCAGAGAAGACCAGACGCCCUCUACCUCCACCAGUCGCUCUUCGGCGUUCGCUGCCUUCCAUGUGAGAAGCGCGCCCGCUCCCUCAAAGCAGACCGGCCAAAGGCUCCUUGUUCCUGAGGUCUCCGACAGCGCCGUUCCCGGAGGGGCGGUGGGACGGAGCAGCAGUACUGCUAGCAGUAUCGGCAUCGGCCUCGCCCUCUUUGGCGUAGGGCUCGUUGACAAAGCGUUGUUUCAGAGUUUAAUGGAAGAGAAUAGUUGCUGUUUGCUUUACAUCGUGGAAAAUCAGCUGCAGGAGGUGGAACGUGCCUUCAGCGCGGAAUUUUUGGCCAAUACCAGGGUGCUGCGGCAACAGGAUGCUGACGUUGUGCUCAGUGAUCAACGGGUCUCUGGAGCCAUUAUUUCUUCACCACCUGGAGAAGCUUCUGAGAUUGUAAUAGAUGCUUUACGAGCUGGGAAAGGUGUAUUUUGCGAGAGGCUACCCAGUUUAGACAGGCAGACAGCAGAAGCUUGUUUUGAUGAAGCUGACAGAUGUGGAAGACCAUUGGUUUGUGGAUUCUACAAGCGUUUUGACCCAGCGCUGCAGUUCUUGUAUAAAAAAGUCCGUGACAGCCAGGCAUUGGGGAGGAUUCACCGGAUAUCGGCRACCAGCAGCAUAUAUCCAGCGGCUUCUCUUAGCUUCCUAAAAAAGUCAGGUGGAAUUUUUUAUAAUGCUGCUGUGCAUGAUAUAGAUAUUAUCAGUUUGUUGUUGGGAGAGAGUGCACCAGAUACAGUAUUUUCACUGGGACAUGCAUUCUGUGCAGAUAUGGCCUACUUGAAGGAUGCAGACACUGUAGCGGUCAGCAUGAAAUUCCCUAGCGGAGCAAUUGUCACUUUGGACGUCAGUCAGCACUGCACUAAAAGCUGUGAUCAGAGACUAGAGGUUCAUGGUUCUCAAGGAACGUUACGGGUAGAUAAUCAGAAUCCCUUGGGAAUUACAGAGCAUGGAACUUCUGUAUCCAUCUAUUCACAGACCCACGCCGAUCGUUUCAGAGACGCGCACAGAGAGCUCUUUCGACACUUUCUUAGAACCCUGAAAGGCAAAGAACCUCCCGCGAUAACCAAAGAACAGUUUCUCUGGGCGAUUCAGGUAGCUGCAGCUGCUGAGCAGUCCUGGAGAAAUGGAUCUGCUGUUGACUUGCGCAAUGAAGCAAUAGAUUCGUCUGUAAUCAAGACUGAAAUAAUGUGACACGCACUGCCGGGUUUUGAG
ensembl:lncRNA